rnacentral:lncRNA from 1 species
UUAGGGUUUCUCAUUUCUUCCGCUCCAUUCUACAUCACAGCCGCCCUGUUCUUCUCUGUCUUCUUCGAUCUUCAUCUUGACGGAUCGAAGAUUGAAGAUCCAGCUUUUUUUCCAUUAAUCGCCGGUUCCAUUUGAAUCCUAAAACUUAUGUUUUUUUGGGGAUACGGCAUAAGGCGGCGAUAGAUGUGGAGUUCUUUAUUCGAUCUCAACAUUUAUGUUCAAUCUUUCCACGGGCUUAGCAUGUGUUUCAUUAUAUGA